UACGGAGGGGGCUAGCGUUGUUCGGAAUUACUGGGCGUAAAGCGUGCGUAGGUGGUUUGUUAAGUCUGAUGUGAAAGCCCUGGGCUCAACCUGGGAAUUGCAUUGGAUACUGGCAGGCUAGAGUGCGGUAGAGGGUAGUGGAAUUCCCGGUGUAGCAGUGAAAUGCGUAGAGAUCGGGAGGAACAUCUGUGGCGAAGGCGACUACCUGGACCAGCACUGACACUGAGGCACGAAAGCGUGGGGAGCAAACAGG
rnacentral:rRNA from 1 species